UAUUGCACAAUGGGGGAAACCCUGAUGCGGCGACGCCGCGUGAGUGAGGAAGGAUUUCGGGAUGUAAAGCUCUAUCAGCAGGGAAGAAAAUGACGGUACCUGACUAAGAAGCCCCGGCUAACUACGUGCCAGCAGCCGCGGUAAUACGUAGGGGGCAAGCGUUAUCCGGAUUUACGGGGUGUAAAGGGAGCGUAGACGGAAUUGCAAGUCUGAUGCGAAAAUCCGAGGCUCAACACCGGAACUGCAUUGGAAACUGUAUUUCUAGAGUGUCGGAGAGGCAAGUGGAAUUCCUGGUGUAGCGGUGAAAUGCGUAGAUAUCAGGAGGAACACCAGUGGCGAAGGCGGCUUGCUGGACGAUGACUGACGUUGAGGCUCGAAAGCGUGGGGAGCAAACAGG
rnacentral:rRNA from 1 species